rnacentral:rRNA from 1 species
AAGUCGUAACAAGGUCUCCGUAGGUGAACCUGCGGAGGGAUCAUUAACCGUAACACAGACUCGGCGCGGACCCCGGUCCCCGAGGAAAUGUCACACCCUUUGUUGUCCGACCAUGUUGCCUCGGGGGCGACCCUGCCUCCGGGCUCGGUCCCCCCGGCGGACCCAACCAAACUAUUGCGUAACAUUGCAGUCCGAGUGAUUUACAAAUAAAUCAAAACUUUCAACAACGGAUCUCUUGGUUCUGGCAUCGAUGAAGAACGCAGCGAAAUGCGAUAAGUAAUGUGAAUUGCAGAAUUCAGUGAAUCAUCGAAUCUUUGAACGCACAUUGCGCCCCGUGGUAUUCCGCGGGGCAUGCCUGUUCGAGCGUCAUUACACCACUCAAGCCUCGCUUGGUAUUGGGCGACGCGGUCCGCCGCGCGCCUCAAAUCUCCCGGCUGGGUUCGAUCGUCCCUCAGCGUUGUGGAAACUAUUCGCUAAAGGUGCACUUUCGGGUCACGCCGUCAAACAAACCCCAUUAAAAGGUUGACCUCGGAUCAGGUAGGGAUACCCGCUGAACUUAAGCAUAUCAAUAAGCGGAGGAAAAGAAACCAACAGGGAUUGCCCUAGUAACGGCGAGUGAAGCGGCAAAAGCUCAAAUUUGAAAUCUGGCGCCUUUGGCGUCCGAGUUGUAAUUUGUAGAGGAUGCUUCUGGGCGGGCGCCGGUCUAAGUUCCUUGGAACAGGACGUCAUAGAGGGUGAGAAUCCCGUAUGUGACCGGAAAGCCACCCUCCACGUAGCUCCUUCGACGAGUCGAGUUGUUUGGGAAUGCAGCUCUAAAUGGGAGGUAAAUUUCUUCUAAAGCUAAAUACUGGCCAGAGACCGAUAGCGCACAAGUAGAGUGAUCGAAAGAUGAAAAGCACUUUGGAAAGAGAGUUAAAAAGCACGUGAAAUUGUUGAAAGGGAAGCGUUUGCAACCAGACUUGCUCGCGGUGUUCCGCCGGUCUUCUGACCGGUUCACUCGCCGCGUUGCAGGCCAGCAUCGUCUGGGGCCGCCGGAUAAGACUUUGGGAAUGUAGCUCCCCUCGGGGAGUGUUAUAGCUCAUUGUGAUGCGGCGCGUCCCGGGCGAGGUCCGCGCUUCGGCUAGGAUGCUGGCGUAAUGGUUGUAAACGGCC